UACGUAGGGUGCAAGCGUUGUCCGGAAUUAUUGGGCGUAAAGAGCUCGUAGGCGGUUUGUCGCGUCUGCUGUGAAAACCCGAGGCUCAACCUCGGGCCUGCAGUGGGUACGGGCAGACUAGAGUGCGGUAGGGGAGAUUGGAAUUCCUGGUGUAGCGGUGAAAUGCGUAGAUAUGCGGAGGAACACCGGUGGCGAAGGCGGGUCUCUGGGCCGAUACUGACGCUGAGGAGCGAAAGCGUGGGGAGCGAACAGG
rnacentral:rRNA from 1 species